rnacentral:misc_RNA from 1 species
GUGAAUCAUCGAAUUUUUGAACGCAUAUUGCACUCUCUGGUAUUCCGGAGCGUAUGCCUGUUUAAGGGUAAUUAAAAAGAAUCUUUAACCAAUUUUUUUUGGUCAUAGGACAUGAGCUCUCCGAGUUUAUAGCGGUAGCUUGAAAUAAAUGGUCAAGUCUCAUUUUAGUCGAGCCGAGUAAUCAUAUUAUUACGCGAUAUACUUAUUAUGUGA